GAGACCUGCGCGCACAAUUGCUAACGGGAACAGCAAUGUUCGACUGAGCACAUUGUGCGGACUGCUCCAGAAAUGGAGAGGAAGGCGCAGGCAACGGUAGGUCUGUAUGCUCCGAAUCUUCUGGGCUACACGCGCGCAACAAUGGUAGGUACAAUGGGAUGCAACACCGAAAGGUGAAGCUAAUCCUCGAAAACCUAUCCUAGUUCAGAUUGUGGGUUGUAACUCACCCACAUGACGUUGGAAUCCCUAGUAAUCAGGUUUUAUCAGAACCCGGUGAAUAU
rnacentral:rRNA from 1 species